CCUACGGGAGGCAGCAGUGAGGAAUAUUGGUCAAUGGACGAGAGUCUGAACCAGCCAAGUAGCGUGAAGGAUGACUGCCCUAUGGGUUGUAAACUUCUUUUAUAUAGGAAUAAAAUGUUCCACGUGUGGGUUUUUGUAUGUACCAUAUGAAUAAGGAUCGGCUAACUCCGUGCCAGCAGCCGCGGUAAUACGGAGGAUCCGAGCGUUAUCCGGAUUUAUUGGGUUUAAAGGGAGCGUAGGUGGGUUGUUAAGUCAGUUGUGAAAGUUUGCGGCUCAACCGUAAAAUUGCAGUUGAAACUGGCAGUCUUGAGUACAGUAGAGGUGGGCGGAAUUCGUGGUGUAGCGGUGAAAUGCUUAGAUAUCACGAAGAACCCCGAUUGCGAAGGCAGCUCACUGGACUGCAACUGACACUGAGGCUCGAAAGUGUGGGUAUCAAACAGGAUUAGAUACCCGAGUAGUC
rnacentral:rRNA from 1 species